rnacentral:misc_RNA from 1 species
GACAGAGGGUGCAAACGUUGUUCGGAAUUACUGGGCGUAAAGCGCGUGUAGGCGGUUCUGUAAGUCGGGUGUGAAAGCCCGGGGCUCAACCCCGGAAGUGCACUCGAAACUGCAGAACUGGAGUCUCGGAGAGGAAAGCGGAAUUCUGGGUGUAGAGGUGAAAUUCGUAGAUAUCCAGAGGAACACCGGUGGCGAAGGCGGCUUUCUGGACGAGUACUGACGCUGAGACGCGAAAGCGUGGGGAGCAAACAGG